rnacentral:rRNA from 1 species
GACGGCUCAGUAACAUGUGUUCAAUCUAACCUUCAAGACGGAGAUAUCCUCGGGAAACUGAGGCUAAUAUCCGAUAGAUAAUGGAUCCUGGAAUGGUUCAUUAUUCAAACGGCACAUUGCUCAUGCGCAGUGUGUCGCAUGAGGAUGAGACUGCACCCUAUCAGGUAGUUGGGUGGGGUAAUGGCCCACCAAGCCUAUAACGGGUACGGGCCUUGAGAGGGGGAGCCCGGAGAUGGGCACUGAGACAAGGGCCCAGGCCCUACGGGGCGCAGCAGGCGCGAAACCUCUGCAAUGCGCGAAAGCGCGACAGGGCCACCCCGAGUGCUAGCCGCUGAGGUUAGCUUUUCCUUAGUGUAGUAAGCUAAGGGAAUAAGCGGGGGGCAAGCCUGGUGUCAGCCGCCGCGGUAAUACCAGCUCCGCGAGUGGUCGGGACGAUUAUUGGGCCUAAAGCGUCCGUAGCCGGCCUAUCAAGUCUCUGGUUAAACCUCAAGGCUCAACCUUGAGAUCGCUGGAGAUACUGUUAGGCUAGGGGGCGGGAGAGGUUGAGGGUACUUCGCGGGUAGGGGCGAAAUCCUAUAAUCCGCGAAGGACCACCAGUGGCGAAGGCGCUCAACUGGAACGCGCCCGACGGUGAGGGACGAAAGCCAGGGGAGCAAAGGGGAUUAGAUACCCCCGUAGUCCUGGCUGUAAACGAUGCGGGCUAGGUGUUGGGUUGGCUUCGUGCCAACCCGGUGCCGCAGUGAAGACGAUAAGCCCGCCGCCUGGGAAGUACGGCUGCAAGGCUGAAACUUAAAGGAAUUGGCGGGGAGCAC